rnacentral:rRNA from 1 species
AGAUUGAACGCUAGCGGGAUGCUUUACACAUGCAAGUCGAACGGCAGCGCGGACUUCGGUCUGGCGGCGAGUGGCGAACGGGUGAGUAAUAUAUCGGAACGUGCCCAGUAGCGGGGGAUAACUACGCGAAAGCGUGGCUAAUACCGCAUACGCCCUACGGGGGAAAGGGGGGAUCGCAAGACCUCUCACUAUUGGAGCGGCCGAUAUCAGAUUAGCUAGUUGGUGAGGUAAAGGCUCGACCAAGGCGACGAUCUGUAGCUGGUUUGAGAGGACGACCAGCCACACUGGGACUGAGACACGGCCCAGACCUCCGUACGGGAGGCAGCAGUGGGUAAUUUGGACAAGUGGGGGAAACCCUGGAUCCGAGCCAUCCCGCGUGUCGCGAUGGAAGGUCCGUUCGGGUUAGUAAGCUACGUUUUGGCGAAGGAAGAACGGUACGUUAGAAC